rnacentral:rRNA from 1 species
AUGAAGGUUUUCGGAUCGUAAAACUCUGUUGUUAGGGAAGAACAAGUACCGUUCGAACAGGGCGGUACCUUGACGGUACCUAACCAGAAAGCCACGGCUAACUACGUGCCAGCAGCCGCGGUAAUACGUAGGUGGCAAGCGUUGUCCGGAAUUAUUGGGCGUAAAGCGCGCGCAGGCGGUUUCUUAAGUCUGAUGUGAAAGCCCCCGGCUCAACCGGGGAGGGUCAUUGGAAACUGGGGAACUUGAGUGCAGAAGAGGAGAGUGGAAUUCCACGUGUAGCGGUGAAAUGCGUAGAGAUGUGGAGGAACACCAGUGGCGAAGGCGACUCUCUGGUCUGUAACUGACGCUGAGGCGCGAAAGCGUGGGGAGCGAACAGGAUUAGAUACCCUGGUAGUCCACGCCGUAAACGAUGAGUGCUAAGUGUUAGAGGGUUUCCGCCCUUUAGUGCUGCAGCAAACGCAUUAAGCACUCCGCCUGGGGAGUACGGUCGCAAGACUGAAACUC